UACGGAGGGUGCAAGCGUUGUUCGGAAUCACUGGGCGUAAAGGGCGUGUAGGCGGUCCGGUAAGUCUGACGUGAAAGCCCGGGGCUCACCCCCGGAAGGGCAUUGGAAACUGGCGGACUCGAGUCCCGGAGAGGAAGGUGGAAUUCCUGGUGUAGCGGUGAAAUGCGUAGAUAUCUGGAGGAAUACCGGUGGCGAAGGCGGCAUCCUGGACCGGCAUUGACGCUGAGGCGCGAAAGCGUGGGGAGCAAACAGG
rnacentral:rRNA from 1 species